UACGUAGGGUGCAAGCGUUGUCCGGAAUUAUUGGGCGUAAAGAGCUCGUAGGCGGUUUGUCACGUCGGAUGUGAAAGCCCGGGGCUUAACCCCGGGUCUGCAUUCGAUACGGGCAGACUGGAGUGUGGUAGGGGAGAUCGGAAUUCCUGGUGUAGCGGUGAAAUGCGCAGAUAUCAAGAGGAACACCGGUGGCGAAGGCGGAUCUCUGGGCCAUUACUGACGCUGAGGAGCGAAAGCGUGGGGAGCGAACAGG
rnacentral:rRNA from 1 species